ensembl:snRNA U2 U2 spliceosomal RNA
AUAAUUUUGACUGUCACAUAAAAAAAUACUAAAAAAAAUCUCUUCUUAUCAGUUUAAUAUCUGAUACGUCCCCCAGCGGGGGACUACAUAUUAAGCGGAUUUUUAGAACAGGAAGUCUGCAAAGGGGCUUGCUCCAUCCGCUCCACGCAUCGACCCAGUAUUGCAUUGCCUUGUGUUGCAAAUAAA